CUCAGGACGAACGCUGGCGGCGUGCUUAACACAUGCAAGUCGAACGGUGAUGACCAGCUUGCUGGUCGGAUCAGUGGCGAACGGGUGAGUAACACGUGAGUAACCUGCCCCAGACUCUGGGAUAAGCCUUGGAAACGAGGUCUAAUACUGGAUAUGAGACGCCCCUGCAUGGGGAGUGUCUGGAAAGAUUUAUCGGUCUGGGAUGGACUCGCGGCCUAUCAGCUUGUUGGUGGGGUAAUGGCCUACCAAGGCGACGACGGGUAGCCGGCCUGAGAGGGCGACCGGCCACACUGGGACUGAGACACGGCCCAGACUCCUACGGGAGGCAGCAGUGGGG
rnacentral:rRNA from 1 species